GAAGGUUCCAGUUUCCCUCAAAGGCUUCCAAUAUCUCCAUUGGAGCCCGCGAGGGAUACUGAAGUCUU
rnacentral:pre_miRNA from 1 species